ACCUCAGGAAACUUGGCCUGGUACUCAGGUGAAGUGCUUGCUGUGCCAGAAGGAGCGAGUGUAGAACAAGAAUAUAUCAUCAGUGCUGAGGCAUUAUAGAGCUUUUCAUGAGAAUCAGCAGCCUGCCAACAGACCAGACACAAGCGACAAUUCCAGAAAAACAAAUGAUGGAUGAGGCCUUGGUUAAUAUGAUAAUUCCAGACACCCAGCCAUUGUCAGUGGUGGAAGAUGUGGGUUUGAUGGAGCUCAUGCACAUACUGGAACCCACUGAUCAUCUCCCUACU